GAUGAAGAACUCAGCGAAAUGCGAUAAGUAGUGUGAAUUGCAGAAUUCAGUGAAUCAUCGAAUCUUUGAACGCACAUUGCGCCCUUUGGUAUUCCUUAGGGCAUGCCUGUUCGAGCGUCAUUUAAACCUUCAAGCUCAGCUUGGUGUUGGGUGACUGUCCGCUUCACCGCGGACUCGCCUCAAAAUUAUUGGCGGCCGGUACAUUGGCUUCGAGCGCAGCAGAAACGCGAACUCGGGCCCGUCGUAUUGGCUCCCAGAAGCUAUCUUCACAAUUUUGACCUCGGAUCAGGUAGGGAUACCCGCUGAACUUAAGCAUAUCAAUAAGCGGAGGA
rnacentral:misc_RNA from 1 species